CUAAGCUUUAUGCUCAGCCUACACUUGGCUCCUCUAGCUGCUCCCCCACACACACCCACUAGGACUAUUAAACCAUGUGACUCACCCUACAUCUGACUCCCCUCCACAAGAUACAGCUCCACUGGAACCCAGAGGCAGAUAAUAGAGAGAGACCAUUGGACCCCCAGAAUCAAAGCAGAGGCACAAAAGCUCUGUGCAGAAGGCCUUUGCUUCCUAUGGAAAUCUGCCUUCCCUCCCCCCAAAGAAACAUGGAGCAUUUCUGAUUCAGUGUUGACUGAAAGACAAAUUCAUGGCCACAGAUGUAACAAAUUUGAAAAUCCAGACAGCAUUCUGGCCGACGAAGAUGAUUCUGCAUGAAAGAAAAGAAUACAAGACAUGUAACUGACAGACUAGAUAAAACCAUUAAUAUGAAGUUUUGAACUACAUGUAUUUCUUGAAUUGAACUUUAAAUUCACCAUGCAACUGGGAAAUUAAAUUAGCAAUAAAGUUUGGAUCAUAACACUUCCUUGGAGAAAGCAACAAAACAAACUGUACAUCUUUUGAUACAAGAUAUUACGCUGUAAUUUUAGCAAGGGUUUCUGGGAACAACUAAAUAAAAAAUAAACACACAACCAUACAUUUUAUUCAUUUUGGAUUAAUUUUAUACAAUGAUUGGCUACCAAUAAAAAUACAGAUUCCUGCUGGAACUGUACUUUUUCAGCUUAUGACACUCCUUGAGCUCAAUUUUCAAACUUGGUUUCAUGAAAGUGAAAAUUUCAGUGAAACUUUGUGGAAAUGGAACCUUAAUGACAAAAAUAAAUCUUUAUUAAUGUCUAUGCCUGUUAGCACAGCACAGUUGUGGGAGUGGGAGUUGGAUUCUCCUCUGAGUUCCAUAUCAUCAGCAGAAUUGCAAACCCGGUUCUAAUAGCAGGGUCAAAUUCUGCUCUCAGCUACGCUUGAGCAAUUGGUUGAAGAUGAAUUUUAUUAAUGGGUGUGAUGCAUAUGCAGGAAAAAGAACCCAGCUUGACUUUUAGAACCCAAGAGGGCCUUGCAAGUUUUACUUGGAAACAUAGAAAAUGGAAUAUGCAUGAAAUGGAGGCAUUAAAACAAAGAAGCACAAUAAACAGAGAUACAUGAUGCUUUUUUUACACAGUCACUUUUCAGAGUAAAACUGCACUGUAUAAGCUGCACUGCCAAGCACCCUCAACAUGCCCUACUUUACUAAGAGUUCAGAGGGUUCAGCACUGCACAUGAAAUGCUAAAUGACUCACAUGAUCAGAAUCAUUACUAGAAUAUUCUGAUCCCACAUCUGGAUACUCAGAUAGACAUUUAAAUGAGUAAAACAGGCAUUUUCUAAGAAGAUAUUUAGAUGUUGAAGAAAUUGCCCAUUUUCCAUGCCUAAGAGCUGAUUUAAGUAUUCAAAUAUAGGUGCGGGGUGUUCCUGUUUAUUAAUGUAAUCACUUACAUUGCAACCAUCAUGAAAUAUAUUGCUAACAGUUGGUCAUAAGAGACCAUUCACUGCCAUGACCAAUACCAAGCACAAUGAACAUCCUAGCAGCUUUUAAUGAGAUUGCUACUUAGCAUUUAUAUCAAAUUUCAAGUUGCUUCACAAUUUCAAAACACUAAAUCAUUGAUUAAUUAAACUUCACUGGUUGAAAGCUAAGCUUUAUUGUCCCGAUUUUACAGCUACGAAAACUGAUAAGGAGAUGUUAAGUGACUUGCCCAAACCUUCAGAGUGUCAGUGGAAUAGACAAAAAAUGAACUGUGUACUUCCUAAUUACUAGUCGUAUGCUCUGAACACUAAACCUGUUAAAAUCAGUGAAAUACCAUCUCAGAUAAAUGCAUCUUCUGCUGCAUCUACAUAUUUAACAACCAUAAUCCUUUGUACCUUUGUAGUACUUGACAUUAGAAGAUCUCAAAGCCUUUUACAAACAUGAAUGAACUAAGCUUCACAACAAGCAUGUAGGAUAAGCACUGUUAUCACUGCUUAACAGAUCAAGAAACUGAGGCACAGAGCAGUUAAGUGACUGGCAUAAGCUCACAUAGCAAGUAUGUGGCAGUGCCAAUAAUAAAAUCUAGAUCUUCCAACUAUCUGACCAUUCUCCUUCCUAAUGGCCCCAGAGUCAGGCUCUGGCCAAUCACAAGAGGGAGCAAAUUCUGAAGCAAAGUACGUGGCUAUUCGCCUUCAAGAAUUCAGCUCUCAGCAUGUUUCAACAUUGGGAUUUUUGCCUUUCUUAUAGUUUCUGUAAAUUGUCCCCUUCAUAUAUGUGUGUACUUUACAUGCGAGUCCUAUUAAAUGCAAGGUGAGCUAUGUGAAUACCAUUCUCAACACACUAUUUGACAAAUUUAGCACCCUUUUCUGUUUGCAAGUUAUCCACAGAGAGUUAGACUUUUACCCAUUUGUUAGUUAUUCAGAAUUAUUUGAUAAUUUUACUUAUUGGUAUUCCGUACUUAAAGACACAACAUAAGAAGAACUCUCAUGCAGGGCUCUAGGCAUCCUUGCCAUUAACUAGUAAUAGAAACACAAAAAUGACAAAAGUCAAAAUAGGAUCACUUUUCUGGACCUAACACCACCCUUAAUAUUUUACAGGGACAUAUUUCAGCCCAGAUGUUUCUCACAGACUAUUUGCUAGGACUAUUGCUUCAAGCAUUUGGGUUUUGCAAUUUGCUAUUCGUACUGGGGGUGAUAUUCACUCCCCAAUGAAAGGCGAAGACAAUGCUUUUGCAUUACUUAAGUCUUCCAGUGUGGCUAAAGCAGAGCAUAGGCCUUGCACUGGUCCACUGCACACGGGUAAAUUUAGCACAGAUUGUAUGCACUUUAGUGCAGGGACUGUAUUUUUAUUACAUGUUUGUACAACGCAGAGCACAUUGGGAACUGAUCACUAACUGAGGCUUCGUGGGGCUAGUGUAAAACACAUACAAAGUAAUAAAAAUAUGAGUGGUCACCAGAGUUGCAUGUUAUUUUUUCUGUUGCCAGUCCCACAAAUAGCUGUCAAGUUGGUUGCACUAACACUGGUAUGGAUUGUGGCUGUGUAUUCCCAGGAUAUCAUGACACUUUCUAACACUGACAAAUUCAAAUUGGCUCAUGCAAAGGUUUGUGGAGAGUGAAUACAAGGGGUUGUGAAUGCCAUCAAAGCAAAUCUGUAAUUUUUAUAAGAACAAGUGUCUGUGAACAACUAUUUUGCAAUAUGCAGGCAGCUCUCCUGCAAACACAUUAGGGAAAAUAUGCAUUCCGAAUUUAACAUCAUCUUCUCUAAAAUUCUAAUGUAUCAUUACAGCUUAUAUAAUGACAUUGUAAAGUACAAGACUGUAAAAGCCUGUAAUU